rnacentral:rRNA from 1 species
AUCUAAUACAUGGCGAGUCGAGUCGAGCAGAACCAGCAGAUUUACUUCGGUAAUGACGCUGGGGACGCGAGCGGCGGAUGGGUGAGUAACACGUGGGGAACCUGCCCCAUAGUCUGGGAUACCACUUGGAAACAGGUGCUAAUACCGGAUAAGAAAGCAGAUCGCAUGAUCAGCUUAUAAAAGACGGCGUAAGCUGUCGCUAUGGGAUGGCCCCGCGGUGCAUUAGCUAGUUGGUAAGGUAACGGCUUACCAAGGCAAUGAUGCAUAGCCGAGUUGAGAGACUGAUCGGCCACAUUGGGACUGAGACACGGCCCAAACUCCUACGGGAGGCAGCAGUAGGGAAUCUUCCACAAUGGACGCAAGUCUGAUGGAGCAACGCCGCGUGAGUGAAGAAGGUUUUCGGAUCGUAAAGCUCUGUUGUUGGUGAAGAAGGAUAGAGGUAGUAACUGGCCUUUAUUUGACGGUAAUCAACCAGAAAGUCACGGCUAACUACGUGCCAGCAGCCGCGGUAAUACGUAGGUGGCAAGCGUUGUCCGGAUUUAUUGGGCGUAAAGCGAGCGCAGGCGGAAGAAUAAGUCUGAUGUGAAAGCCCUCGGCUUAACCGAGGAAUUGCAUCGGAAACUGUUUUUCUUGAGUGCAGAAGAGGAGAGUGGAACUCCAUGUGUAGCGGUGGAAUGCGUAGAUAUAUGGAAGAACACCAGUGGCGAAGGCGGCUCUCUGGUCUGCAACUGACGCUGAGGCUCGAAAGCAUGGGUAGCAAACAGGAUUAGAUACCCUGGUAGUCCAUGCCGUAAACGAUGAGUGCUAAGUGUUGGGGAGGUUUCCGCCUCCUCAGUGCUGCAGCUAACGCAUUAAGCACUUCGACUGGGGAGUACGACUGCAAGGUUGAACUCAAGUAUG